GACCGCGAAGCUCAGUUGGCAGAGCAUUGGGCUAGUAUUCCAAAGGUCGUAGGUUCGAUUCCGCCCGUGGUCA